rnacentral:rRNA from 1 species
AUUGAACGCUGGCGGCAGGCCUAACACAUGCAAGUCGAGCGGAUGAAGGGAGCUAGCUCCUGGAUUCAGCGGCGGACGGGUGAGUAAUGCCUAGGAAUCUGCCUGGUAGUGGGGGAUAACGUCCGGAAACGGGCGCUAAUACCGCAUACGUCCUGAGGGAGAAAGUGGGGGAUCUUCGGACCUCACGCUAUCAGAUGAGCCUAGGUCGGAUUAGCUAGUAGGUGGGGUAAAGGCCUACCAAGGCGACGAUCCGUAGCUGGUCUGAGAGGAUGAUCAGUCACACUGGAACUGAGACACGGUCCAGACGCCUACGAGAGGCAGCAGUGGAGAAUAUUGGACGAUGGGCGAGAGCCUGAGCCAGCCAUGCCGCGUGUGUGAAGAAGGUCUUCGGAUUGUGAAGCACUUUAAGUUGGGAGGAAGGGCAGUAAGUUAAUACCUUGCUGUUUUGACGUUACCAACAGAAUAAGCACCGGCUAACUUCGUG